rnacentral:rRNA from 1 species
UGCAGUUGGUUGUCGUCAGCUCGUGCCGUGAGGUGUCGGGUUAAGUCCCAUAACGAGCGCAACCCUUAUCGUUAGUUGCCAUCUGGUAAAGCAGGGGACUCUAGCGAAACUGCCACCGUAAGGUGAGAGGAAGGUGGGAUGACGUCAAAUCAGCAUGGCCCUUAUGUCCAGGGCUACACACGUGUUACAAUGGUCGGUACAGAGGGCAGCUACCUGGUGACAGGAUGCUAAUCUCGAAAACCGGCCUCAGUUCGGAUCGAAGUCUGCAACUCGACUUCGUGAAGCUGGAUUCGCUAGUAAUCGCGCAUCAGCCAUGGCGCGGUGAAUACGUUCCCGGGCCUU